UUUAAACUAUUUUCGUAAUUGAUUUAUAUCUAAAAGUUGAUAAUUUCUUUUUUGGGUCAGUUGAAUAGAUAUUGAUGAGCUUAAAUAGAAUGUUAUCUGGGUGAUGUUGAUUAAGAUAUAUAGUGUUUAAGGCUCUUUCUGCAUAUACCUGCCAAAAUUUUGUCUUUCUUCUAUUUGUUUGCAGUCAUACCACCAUGUUUCAAUGGAAAAUGUGGUGCUCCAAUAUAGGUUGGGUAUGCUUAGUGUAAGUUAGGUGCUCCAAGAGGUAUUGGACUGUAAUGAGAAGAAAAAACAGAGAGAGCAUUGAGGGCUUUUGCAUGAAUGGAAGCUGAAAAAGGAAUUAGUUGUUUUCACUAAAAAAAAGAUAUGAUUCAUUUGAUGGUUAAAGUUUUCAAUCAGUGCAAUUCAAUGUUAAGUUUAUUUAAGAUGAACUAAAAUGCAGAUGUUCAUCAGUUUGCUACAACAGCAGCAACACGAUUUUUUCAAGGUUUAAAAGUUUUUAUCGGUAAUGUAGCCAAAUUGUGUUUGUUAUAAGAGUAGUUAUAUGGCAUGGUUCUUUCUGUUUGGUGGAGCUUCUCCAAAGAAAUAUUUUUUUGGAGAUGUUCUCUUACAGUGUCGUGUUAGAAACUCCAGCUUCUCGAAGGAGACGUGGUUUUGCUUCUUGGAUAGCAGAUAAAGGAUUUUCAUAUUUUGCAGCCAAAUGAUUCUCUCUUCUUGAAUCACAGAUAAUUAAGAAAAUAAGAUUAUCAUCAAGAAUGAUAUUUCCUUUUUUGUCUGCAAUGCGGCAUUGGACCAAUUAAAGAUCGACUAAAGGGGCUUUCAUACUCAAGUACACUAAAAACAGA